CAGCAGCCGCGGUAGUACGUAGGGUGCGAGCGUUGUCCGGAAUUACUGGGCGUAAAGAGCUCGUAGGCGGUUUGUCGCGUCGUCUGUGAAAUUCUGCAGCUUAACUGCAGGCGUGCAGGCGAUACGGGCAGACUUGAGUACUACAGGGGAGACUGGAAUUCCUGGUGUAGCGGUGAAAUGCGCAGAUAUCAGGGGGAACACCGGUGGCGAAGGCGGGUCUCUGGGUAGUAACUGACGCUGAGGAGCGAAAGCGUGGGUAGCGAACAGGAUUAGAUACCCGCGUAGUCCCUGUCUCUUAUAC
rnacentral:rRNA from 1 species